rnacentral:rRNA from 1 species
GACGAACGCUGGCGGCGUGCUUAACACAUGCAAGUCGAACGAAGUGGCGAACGGGUGAGUAACGCGUAAUCAACCUGCCCUUCAGAGGGGGACAACAGUUGGAAACGACUGCUACUACCGCAUACUGAAGGCGGGGAUUGCGUCGGAUUGGCUAGGUGGAGGGGUAACGGCCCACCAAGGCGAUGAUCAGUAGCAGGGCUGAGAGGAGGGACGGCCCCAUUGGGACUGAGACACGGCCCAGACUCCUACGGGAGGCAGCAGUGGGGAAGCUUCCGCAAUGGACGAAAGUCGGACGGAGCAACGCCGCGUGAGUGAUGACGGCCUUGGGGUUGUAAAGCUCUGUUAAUCGGGACGCGGUACCGGAAUAGAAAGCCACGGCUAACUACGUGCCAGCAGCCGCGGUAAUUC